rnacentral:rRNA from 1 species
CCCUUAGAUGUCCUGGGCUGCACGCGCGCUACACUGAUUCAUGCAACAAGUUUUGUCCUUGGCUGAUAGGCCUGGGUAAUCUUUGAACGUGAAUCGUGAUGGGGAUAGAUGAUUGCAAUUAUUCAUCUUCAACGAGGAAUUCCUAGUAAACGCAAGUCAUCAGCUUGCAUUGAUUACGUCCCUGCCCUUUGUACACACCGCCCGUCGCACCUACCGAUUGAAUGGUCCGGUGAAAUCUUCGGAUCUGAGAGAUGUCUGAUUAAUUUCGGACGCCUUUUGGAAAAGUUGCUUAAACCUUACCAUUUAGAGGAAGGUGAAGUCGUAACA